GUGCUCGCUUCGGCAGCACAUAGACUAAAAUUGGAAUGAUACAGAGAAGAUUAGGAUGGCCCCUGCGCAAGGAUGAAACUAAGAUUUGUCCACUACACAGGUUGUUU